rnacentral:rRNA from 1 species
GACGGAAGGUGCAAGCGUUGCUCGGAAUCACUGGGCGUAAAGGGUGCGUAGGCGGCUUGGUAGGUCUGGUGUGAAAGCCCCGGGCUCAGCCCGAGCGGUCGUGAGAAACUGGCAGGCUAGAGUGCGGGAGAGGAGAGUGGAAUUCCUGGUGAUAGCGGUGAAAUGCGCGAGACUAUCAGGAGGAACACCCGUGGCUAAGGCGGCUCUCUAGUACGG